GGAGGAGGGUGGGAGGAGGGAGAAAGGGAGGAAGAAGAAGAGGGAAGGAAUGAAAAAAACCCAUUUUGUCACUUUUAGCACAGCUGGUCAAUACAUUCUUGUGAAUAAUGACAUCCACUGUUUUCUGGGUGCCUUCUAUGGGUUAGACACUUCAGACCCAUUACUUGACUUUAUCCUUACAAACUCCUGGCAAAGACACUGACCCUGUUCCUUUCCCAUUUUUCAGAGUGAAGAAACUGAGGUUUGGUAAUAUUAAUUUGCCCAAAACCAAGUUGUUAGCAGUGCAUUGAGCAGCUGUCAUUCCCAUCAGCGUGCACCUGCAGGAGGUGAUAGAUAACUUCUUGGGUGCCAACUCCGUCCUCCAUGUUUCCUUCUUAAUGGCCAGAUCCAUACCUUUGCUGGGAAAAUCUACUGGAAGACAAGAUCUCUGUGCAACGCAAAACACGUGUGGUAUUAGCAAGUUUGACACUUGUAUUCAUUCAACACGUUCAUUCAUUUACCUAAUAAAUAUUUACCGAGUAUUUAAUACCA